CCAGACAGUCGGAUGGUCGCGGGCGCUUUUAGGCGUCUGAGGAAAGUCCGGGCUUCACGGGAACACGAUACCGGAUAACGUCCGGCGGGGGUGACCCCAGGGAAAGUGCAGCAGAAAGCAAACCGCCGACCUUUUUUAAAAAGGGGUAAGGGUGAAAGGGUGCGGUAAGAGCGCACCGCUUUUCCGGUAACGGAAAAGGCACGGAAAACCCUAUCGGAAGCAAGACCAAGUCAGGCGUACGCAACCGCGUAUUCAAGGGCGUUCCCGUCCUUCGCCAGAGGUAGGUCGCUGGAGGCGUUCGGCAACGGACGUCGUAGAAGAAUGGCCAUCGAUUACAGAACCCGGCUUACAGACUGUCUGGCAUA
rnacentral:RNase_P_RNA from 2 species